rnacentral:rRNA from 1 species
UACGGGGGGGGCAAGCGUUGUUCGGAAUUACUGGGCGUAAAGGGUUCGUAGGUGGCCAACUAAGUCAGACGUGAAAUCCCUCAGCUUAACUGGGGAACUGCGUCUGAUACUGGAUGGCUUGAGUGCAGGAGAGGAACGCGGAAUUCCAGGUGUAGCGGUGAAAUGCGUAGAGAUCGGGAGGAACACCAGAGGCGAAGGCGGCGACCUGGACAGUUACUGACACUCAACUACGAAAGCGUGGGGAGCAAACAGG